rnacentral:rRNA from 1 species
AUGGAAAUGGAGGUCCCCUCCACUCCCACCACCCCAGCGCCCAUCAACUUCUUGCUGCCGGUGGACUCUGAGCACAAGGCCAAGUCCAUCAAGAUCUUCUCCUUCGGCAACCCACACAUGCGCGCCUUCCAUCUCGGAUGGAUGUCCUUCUUCACCUGCGUUGUGUCCACCUUCGCUGCUGCGCCGCUCAUCCCCAUCAUUCGCGACAACCUCAACCUCACAAAGGCCGACAUCGGCAACGCCGGGGUCGCCUCUGUAUCCGGCGCCAUCUUCUCAAGGCUGGCCAUGGGCGCCAUCUGCGACCUUCUAGGCCCGCGAUAUGGAUGUGCAUUCCUGGUCAUGCUCUCCGCGCCAGCGGUGUUUUGCAUGUCUGUCAUUGAUGGCCCCGGCGGAUACAUCACAAUCCGCUUUCUCAUUGGUGUCUCACUUGCCACUUUCGUCUCCUGCCAGUAUUGGGUGAGCACCAUGUUCAAUAGCAAGAUCAUCGGGACCGUCGGUGGCUUGACGGCGGGAUGGGGAGACAUGGGUGGCGGUGCCACACAGCUCAUCAUGCCUCUCAUCUUCGAUGCCAUUUUGGCAUGUGGUGCAACGCCUUUCACGGCAUGGCGCCUCGCGUACUUUGUACCAGGAAUGAUGUUGGUGGUGAUGGGGUUACUCGUCCUCACCAUGGGGCAAGACCUUCCUGAUGGCAACUUGAGGAGCCUGCAGAAGAAUGGAGACAUGAACAAGGACAAGUUCUCUAAUGUUCUGCGUGGCGCCGUCACCAACUACCGCACGUGGAUCUUCGUCUUCAUCUAUGGCUACUGCAUGGGCGUCGAGCUCACCACCAACAACGUGAUCGCCGAGUACUACUACGACAGCUUCCACCUCGAUCUUCGGGCCGCUGGCACCAUAGCUGCGUGCUUUGGCUUGGCCAAUGUCUUCGCGCGUCCCAUGGGUGGCUACCUCUCCGACCUCGCUGCUCGGUACUUCGGCAUGCGUGCCCGGCUCUGGAACAUAUGGAUCCUCCAGACCGCUGGUGGAGCCUUUUGCAUUUGUCUCGGCCGUGCAUCUACCCUUCCCACCUCAAUCACAUGCAUGGUCCUCUACUCCAUCUGUGUCGAGGCUGCGUGUGGUGCCGUCUACGGUGUUAUCCCUUUCGUGUCUCGACGCUCCCUUGGCCUCAUCUCUGGCAUGAGUGGCGCGGGUGGUAAUGUGGGCGGAGGUCUCACACAGUUCCUCUUCUUCACAUCAUCCCAGUACUCCACCGGCAAAGGGCUCCAGUACAUGGGAAUCAUGGUCAUGGCAUGCACCCUCCCCGUCGCACUCGUGCACUUCCCGCAGUGGGGCUCCAUGCUCCUCCCACCCACCGAAGGGGCGACCGAGGAGGACUACUACGCCGCCGAGUGGACGGAGGAGGAGAAGAGCAAGGGCCUACACAACGCAGGCAUCAAGUUCGCCGAGAACAGCGUCUCUGAGCGUGGCAGACGUAAUGCCAUCCUCGCCGUACCUGCCUCCCCACCUCACGUCACCCCUCAACAUGUAUAA